AUUGAACGCUGGCGGCAUGCCUUACGCAUGCAAGUCGAACGGCAGCACUGGUGCUUGCACCUGGUGGCGAGUGGCGAACGGGUGAGUAAUACAUCGGAACAUGUCCUGUAGUGGGGGAUAGCCCGGCGAAAGCCGGAUUAAUACCGCAUACGAUCUACGGAUGAAAGCGGGGGACCUUCGGGCCUCGCGCUAUAGGGUUGGCCGAUGGCUGAUUAGCUAGUUGGUGGGGUAAAGGCCUACCAAGGCGACGAUCAGUAGCUGGUCUGAGAGGACGACCAGCCACACUGGGACUGAGACACGGCCCAGACUCCUACGGGAGGCAGCAGUGGGGAAUUUUGGACAAUGGGCGAAAGCCUGAUCCAGCAAUGCCGCGUGUGUGAAGAAGGCCUUCGGGUUGUAAAGCACUUUUGUCCGGAAAGAAAUCCUUGGCCCUAAUACGGUCGGGGGAUGACGGUACCGGAAGAAUAAGCACCGGCUAACUACGUG
rnacentral:rRNA from 1 species